GUGCCAGCAGCCGCGGUAAUACAGAGGUCCCGAGCGUUGUUCGGAUUCACUGGGCGUAAAGGGUGCGUAGGUGGCUUGAAAAGUUUGAUGUGAAAGCUCAGGGCUUAACCCUGAAAUGGCAUUGAAUACUGUCGAGCUGGAGGUUUGGAGGGGGGACUGGAAUUCUUGGUGUAGCAGUGAAAUGCGUAGAUAUCAAGAGGAACACCAGUGGCGAAGGCGAGUCCCUGGACAACACCUGACACUGAGGCACGAAAGCUAGGGGAGCAAACAGGAUUAGAUACCCUGGUAGUCCUAGCCCUAAACGGUGCACGUUUGCUGUAAAAGGAAUCGACCCCUUUUGUGGCGAAGCUAACGCGAUAAACGUGCCGCCUGGGGAGUACGGUCGCAAGAUUAAA
rnacentral:rRNA from 1 species